UCUGCCCUGCUCGACUGCCUUCGUUAUCAACAACUGGUUUAUCUGACGUCAUCACAGAGUUCCAGGAAUAUUGCUGUUCUCCUACCUACUGGUUCCAGAUCAGCUAACAAAACACAAAUACUGUGACUGUGUGGCUACUCGGCAGUAAAGUAAAGGGGACCCGGGUCAGUUUUGGUACGCGAUUGCGCGCACGUCCGAAUGUGUGGAGGGAGUGCACGUGUUCCAUUGACAGUCUUAUGCAAGCCACCCUGCACACAGGCAAGAUGUCCGAAGCUGCUGCUGUAUCAGAGAACAACGGACUAAAUGGGUCCUGGGUGGAGUUGGAGAUGAACAGAGCUGUGGCCACGACUGCAGCGGGGUUGUCCCAGUGUGCCUCUGCCGUAGGCCAGGCUCUGGGGCUGCUCCCUCUGCCUCAGGUGGAGGAGGAGGUGGAGGCCAUGGUGGGGGGACUGGAGCACGUGCCCUCCUCAUCCUCCAUCCAUAAUGGAGACAUGGAGAGGAUUUUACUGGAUGCUCAGCAUGAGUCCAGCCGCAGCAACUCUUCAUGUGACAGUCCUCCCCGGCCUCAUAGUCCCCAGGAGGAUGAUCAUGAUGGACAGAUCAUAUUUGAUGUGGACGUGAGCAGCAGGAGAGACAGCCAAUCAGAGGAGGAUGCCCUGGAGAAGGAGAGGGACAUGGAUAUCCUCAUGAAGGACUCCGACUGGGUAGCAGACUGGUCCAGUCGGCCCGAGAACAUUCCCCCUAAGGAGUUCCAUUUCCGCCACCCACGGCGUUCAGAUACACUCAGCAUGAGAAAUACAGGGGCGAUGAAGAAAGGAGGCGUCUUCUCUUCAGAGUUCCUCAAAGUGUUCAUCCCCUCACUGUUACUGUCACACAUCCUGGUUCUGGGGCUGGGAGUGUACAUUGGGAAGAGGUUGACCACGCCCCCUACAAGCUCUUUCUGAGCAGGAAACUGAAAAAGUGCCUGAGGAAUGGCUGUAAUUUUUUGGGGGGAAAUGUUGCUCUUUUACGAAGAAUGCCCAUCUCUCCUCAAACUUUCCUUCUCUCCCUUACCCCUCUUUCUCUCUCUCUCUGUGCUUUUUCCCACCUGUCAAAGCAUUUCCUCUUCCUGUAUCCUGCGCAGACCUGAGAUGUGCUGUUCUCAGGACAGAUGUGUUGCCCUUUCUCUUAUUUUACCCCCUGCCCCCUUUUCUAUCAGUCAUUUUCUGACUGCUUCCAGAGUAAGGCCAUAUUCCCUUUUGCUCCUGUUUGGGUGGGUAUUUUGGGAAGCGUAAAACCAAACCUAACUCUUCUACACACUAGAUCCAGCACUCUGUAAUUGCCUGGUUGUACGAGAGAGAGCUGUCUGCCCUACAGAUUUAGAAGAUAGAAGUAGCCCAAGAUCGUGCCACCUACAACGGUGGUUGGGUGAAACUCUCAAACCCUGAAAAGGUCCAACCAAAUUCAGAAACAAAGAAGCUAACCUGAAGAUGGUGUUACCAUAGUGGCCAUCUCAAACCCACAACCACCUGACGCUGUGCACUGGAGGGAAUCUGCUUGGCCUGCCAGAUGAGAUGUCUACAAGACCUAUGGUAUCAGGAAUAUAUCUACACCUUGAUGGAAAAUAUCAUAUUACACAUGUAUCCAGUUGUUAAUCAUUAUAAAAAUGUCUGUCAUUUCAAAUGCAUUUUAAACAAUUUUCAAAACUGACAUGAAUGACUGGAACAUUAUGGAUAUAUUCCUCCGAUUAAAUGUAAACUGACACAGUUGUUUUGUGGGUGGAAGUUGGGUAGCCACACUGGGGUGGUGUAUUUGUUCUGGUGUGUGUCAUUCUCUUGUUUGUCUGUUUUGAGUUCUCUACAACAUAUCAUGGGCCUAGUUAUUUAGGCCUGGUUCACUGGGUACACCUCUGAUAUGCCUGCACAAGUGUGACAGGUCAACUUCCCACCUGUACAACAUACAUGCAUACACUUAAGAACAAGCUCAUGUGGGUUGUUAGUCCAGCUGGAGAGAGAUAAACCCUGAUGUUUCACCACACUGAUAGCAGGAGCUGGAAUGGAGUCCAGAUGCAGAAUAGUUUGAGUAGCACAACCCCAUGUACAAACUUAAGCAUGCUCUGACAGUCACGGUGACCUAUGUCACAGUGCUCCAAGAUGGACAGCAGUAUUUCAAAGUUGACACAAUGUGCUGUUUGUACUAACUCCACCAUUGGACCUUGCUGAGAUCAACCUCUUGUAUACAGUAUCUUAUUUGUAUCUCCCUCUACACAACUGCCAAAAGGAACUGAGGUCCACCUUGAAACUCAACUGUUCUGAGUGACCAUGUGCCUCACCUCUGUUCCCAAGCCUCCAUUGUGGUUCUGUUGGUCUCACUGUCUGCCUGUGAUCAGACUUUGAGAGGCUACUGUAUGGCAUGUUUUUGGGGUGUUGUUUUUUUUCUCAAUGAGUUUUAUUGUCUGUAUUGUUGUGACAUUGGAGUCUGAACAGACAGCAUGAGGUAUAGCUAUGAUGAGACGGAACUACAGGGAUUUAAUGAAGAUUAUGUUUUCAGUCUGAAAUUAGGAUGUUAGAAAGACACCUUGCAAGGCCCAAAGUGAAAAGGAAAAUGAAUGUGUAGAAAUGGUUCCCCUCAGACUGCUAUGCUAACAAUAGUUAUUAUCAUAUACAUCCUUUUGAUUUCAUUUGAUGUUUUUUCCCCUCAUUGGAAAAUGUAAAAAUAAUUUGUCAAUAAAAUUCCCUGAAUCAA